UACAUCCAUGUUCUCCCAGCUGAUUUUUUCCUGGAGAGCUUCACAGUCGAGUCUUCAUUUGACUGUAACUUUAAUGAGUGAAGACUGCAAGCAUGGCUCAGGAAGUGACCUGGGGAUGGUGUAGCCGCUGAGAAGUUAAUGCUGUAGGCGCUCAGAAAGGACGUCCUUUGGAAGAGGCAUGUUGUUGACCUGUCAGACAGAAGGCCUGUAGCUUCACUCUUCUAAAACCGAAGCACCACGUUCAAGAGGAUUCUGUUCUUAGGAAUCAACUCUGAAUAUCUCCUCUGUAUUCUCCCAUUUUUUGUUAUUUUGGCUACUGAGCCUACAAAGUGAGGAAAGUCCAGCGUGUUUUCUUUGUGUCCAGGGAGGAAAAAUAAAAACAUUAGUAACUCUAUUGACAAAGCUUUGCCCCUUAAAAAGGGGAGCUCUUUUCUUCAGGUUUCCCUGCAAUAAAAAAAAUC
rnacentral:lncRNA from 1 species